rnacentral:rRNA from 1 species
GUAGGGAAUCUUCCGCAAUGGACGAAAGUCUGACGGAGCAACGCCGCGUGAGUGAUGAAGGUUUUCGGAUCGUAAAGCUCUGUUGUUAGGGAAGAACAAGUGCCGUUCAAAUAGGGCGGCACCUUGACGGUACCUAACCAGAAAGCCACGGCUAACUACGUGCCAGCAGCCGCGGUAAUACGUAGGUGGCAAGCGUUGUCCGGAAUUAUUGGGCGUAAAGGGCUCGCAGGCGGUUUCUUAAGUCUGAUGUGAAAGCCCCCGGCUCAACCGGGGAGGGUCAUUGGAAACUGGGGAACUUGAGUGCAGAAGAGGAGAGUGGAAUUCCACGUGUAGCGGUGAAAUGCGUAGAGAUGUGGAGGAACACCAGUGGCGAAGGCGACUCUCUGGUCUGUAACUGACGCUGAGGAGCGAAAGCGUGGGGAGCGAACAGGAUUAGAUACCCUGGUAGUCCACGCCGUAAACGAUGAGUGCUAAGUGUUAGGGGGUUUCCGCCCCUUAGUGCUGCAGCU